AGGACAUGUUGCAAGAGAAGAGCUUUUCUGUGUCAACAUUGCCAAGAAGAAACAAAAUAAAAGUAGCACGGCAGCUUUUGCUGGGUUUGGAGAAAAGCUCAGGUGGCAAUUCUCAAGGACAGGAGAGUAUGUUACAGGACAGCAAAAAGACUGGAUCCCAUAAUGAAGAGAUAAAUUAUCAUAUGACAUGAGCAUAGGACUGAGAAUCAGAAACUCAAGCUUCAGCUCUAGCUGAAAUGCUAGCUCAAAAGGUAAAACCUAUACAUUUCAUAUUAACAGUAAAUUGGUAAGUCAUUUUACUUAACAGAAUGUUGGCACACUCCCUCUCAAACUUUAAUAGCUUCCAGUUUAUUCCCAAAAGUAAAAUCUUCUGUCAAUUUAAUCCUCUCCCCAAACAUCUCUAAACACUGAAAACAAGACCUGUGUAUGUGCCAACCUAUUUUCUGUUUGUACAAUAUAUUUUUUACAUUCUUCCUCUGUAAGGUCCCUAAUUCACUUUGAUGGAAGAGAUGGUAUCAUAGAAUGACUUGGUUUGGUUGGGACCUCAAAGAUCACCUAGGUCCAACCCCUGUUCCAUGGGCAGGGUUACCAAUCACUAUAUCAGGCCCCAUUCAACCUGGUCUUGAAUAUCUUCAAGGAUGGCGCAUCCAAAACUUCUCUGGGCAGCCUGCUCCAGCACCUCACCUCCCUGGGUCUCUAAACAUGAUGGCAUGAAACAGCAAUAGAGACACUACUUAUUGGUUCUUUCAUUUUGUAUGAGAGGAAAAUCAAAAGACAUUCAUGAGAAAAUAAAAGGGCAAGUACAAUACCUCAAACGAGCAUCACAGUAUUUUUUGGCAUAUUCACUCCAAGUUCCAAAUCUUCUUGGAAAAAGUGCCUCAAUCUGCAUGAAAAGCUUUACAGAAAGAAAUGUCAGUGACAAACUGCCUUCAAGGCUGAUACUAUUCAGAAAUAAUUCUCAUUUAUUACAUGUUUAUUGUGUUAAGGUUAUAUUCAGCAGCUGUACUAUUCACGAAAAUUACAAAAUUGCAUGCUCAGUAUUUUGAUACUACCCCCCCCCCCC